AAAUUGAAGAGUUUGAUCAUGGCUCAGAUUGAACGCUGGCGGCAGGCCUAACACAUGCAAGUCGAGCGGUAGCACAGAGAGCUUGCUCUCGGGUGACGAGCGGCGGACGGGUGAGUAAUGUCUGGGAAACUGCCUGAUGGAGGGGGAUAACUACUGGAAACGGUAGCUAAUACCGCAUAACGUCGCAAGACCAAAGUGGGGGACCUUCGGGCCUCAUGCCAUCAGAUGUGCCCAGAUGGGAUUAGCUAGUAGGUGGGGUAACGGCUCACCUAGGCGACGAUCCCUAGCUGGUCUGAGAGGAUGACCAGCCACACUGGAACUGAGACACGGUCCAGACUCCUACGGGAGGCAGCAGUGGGGAAUAUUGCACAAUGGGCGCAAGCCUGAUGCAGCCAUGCCGCGUGUGUGAAGAAGGCCUUCGGGUUGUAAAGCACUUUCAGCGGGGAGGAAGGCGUUAAGGUUAAUAACCUCAUCGAUUGACGUUACCCGCAGAAGAAGCACCGGCUAACUCCGUGCCAGCAGCCGCGGUAAUACGGAGGGUGCAAGCGUUAAUCGGAAUUACUGGGCGUAAAGCGCACGCAGGCGGUCUGUCAAGUCGGAUGUGAAAUCCCCGGGCUCAACCUGGGAACUGCAUUCGAAACUGGCAGGCUAGAGUCUUGUAGAGGGGGGUAGAAUUCCAGGUGUAGCGGUGAAAUGCGUAGAGAUCUGGAGGAAUACCGGUGGCGAAGGCGGCCCCCUGGACAAAGACUGACGCUCAGGUGCGAAAGCGUGGGGAGCAAACAGGAUUAGAUACCCUGGUAGUCCACGCCGUAAACGAUGUCGAUUUGGAGGUUGUGCCCUUGAGGCGUGGCUUCCGGAGCUAACGCGUUAAAUCGACCGCCUGGGGAGUACGGCCGCAAGGUUAAAACUCAAAUGAAUUGACGGGGGCCCGCACAAGCGGUGGAGCAUGUGGUUUAAUUCGAUGCAACGCGAAGAACCUUACCUGGUCUUGACAUCCACAGAACUUUCCAGAGAUGGAUUGGUGCCUUCGGGAACUGUGAGACAGGUGCUGCAUGGCUGUCGUCAGCUCGUGUUGUGAAAUGUUGGGUUAAGUCCCGCAACGAGCGCAACCCUUAUCCUUUGUUGCCAGCGGUUUGGCCGGGAACUCAAAGGAGACUGCCAGUGAUAAACUGGAGGAAGGUGGGGAUGACGUCAAGUCAUCAUGGCCCUUACGACCAGGGCUACACACGUGCUACAAUGGCAUAUACAAAGAGAAGCGACCUCGCGAGAGCAAGCGGACCUCAUAAAGUAUGUCGUAGUCCGGAUUGGAGUCUGCAACUCGACUCCAUGAAGUCGGAAUCGCUAGUAAUCGUAGAUCAGAAUGCUACGGUGAAUACGUUCCCGGGCCUUGUACACACCGCCCGUCACACCAUGGGAGUGGGUUGCAAAAGAAGUAGGUAGCUUAACCUUCGGGAGGGCGCUUACCACUUUGUGAUUCAUGACUGGGGUGAAGUCGUAACAAGGUAACCGUAGGGGAACCUGCGGUUGGAUCACCUCCUUA
rnacentral:rRNA from 1 species